rfam:Callithrix jacchus chromosome 5, whole genome shotgun sequence
UAAAACCCGAAAGAUGGAGCCUCAGGUUCUGCGUUGCGGGUGCUGGAACCGAGAUUCCAAAAGAGCUUCCGGAGG